AACCUUUCAGGGUCGCACCUGGAGAGUUUCCAGUACUCUACUGGUCCCGGCUACUGGAGGGAGAGUGAAGCGGAGGCCUACCCAUUCCAUUCCUAGCUUGGUCAGUGGCUAGCGAGCGGAAGGCAAUCUGCUACAAGU